CCUACGGGCGGCAGCAGUGAGGAAUAUUGGUCAAUGGACGAGAGUCUGAACCAGCCAAGUAGCGUGAAGGAUGACUGCCCUAUGGGUUGUAAACUUCUUUUAUAAAGGAAUAAAACGAGGCACGUGUGCGUUUUUGCAUGUACGGUAUGAAUAAGGAUCGGCUAACUCCGUGCCAGCAGCCGCGGUAAUACGGAGGAUCCGAGCGUUAUCCGGAUUUAUUUGGUUUACUGGGAGCGUAGAUGGGUUGUUAAGUCAGUUGUCAAAGUUUGCGGCUCAACCGUAAAAUUUCAUUUGAUACUGUCAGUCUUGAGUACAGUUGAGGUCGGCGGAAUUCGUGGUGUAGCGGU
rnacentral:rRNA from 1 species